AUAUUGGUGCGAGACCGAUAGCGAACAAGUACCGUGAGGGAAAGAUGAAAAGAACUUUGAAAAGAGAGUUAAAGAGUACCUGAAACUGCUGAAAGGGAACCGAAUCGUUUCCAGUAUCUAUAAUCCGUGGUAUAUUUCAUUGGCGAGUGUGUGCGUGCGUGUGCUGUGGCAGUGGCUUUUUUGGCUGCGCUCGGCGUGUGUGCUGUGUGUGCUUGCUGGUGCCCUGUGCUGCGGUGGGACGUCAAGGUCAGUUCGUAUGCUGCGGGAAAUGGCUGCCGAGGAGGUAGGGCUUACGCUUGCGUUUGUCUGUUAUAUCUUGGUGGACGAGUUGUCGCGGUUGGGACUGAGGUGCCUACAACGUGCUUUUGAGUGAGUUUGUGUCUCCGUGUGCGCCGUGUGUGGAUAGCUUGCUAUGUAUGUGCGGUUGUGUGUGGAUUGAUGCGGGCUUUAACUUGUUGCCGUUCGGGACGUUGGCGAAAUGGAGCGAUCCGACCCGUCUUGAA
rnacentral:rRNA from 1 species